AGAAUCAACGCUGGCGGCGUGCCUAACACAUGCAAGUCGAACGAGAAAGUGGAGCAAUCCAUGAGUAAAGUGGCGCACGGGUGAGUAACACGUGACUAACCUACCCUUGAGUGGGGGAUAACCUAGGGAAACCUGGGCUAAUACCGCAUAAUACCUUCGGGUCAAAGGAGCAAUUCGCUUCAGGAGGGGUCGCGGCCGAUUAGUUAGUUGGCGGGGUAAUGGCCCACCAAGACAGUGAUCGGUAUCCGGCCUGAGAGGGCGCACGGACACACUGGAACUGAAACACGGUCCAGACUCCUACGGGAGGCAGCAGUGGGGAAUUUUGCGCAAUGGGGGAAACCCUGACGCAGCAACGCCGCGUGGAGGAUGAAGUCCUUCGGGACGUAAACUCCUUUCGAUCGGGACGAUAAUGACGGUACCGGAAGAAGAAGCCCGGCUAACUUCGUGCCAGCAGCCGC
rnacentral:rRNA from 1 species